CCUACGGGAGGCUGCAGUGAGGAAUAUUGGGCAAUGGGCGUAAGCCUGAACCAGCCAAGUCGCAUGAGGGAUGAAGGUUCUAUGGAUCGUAAACCUCUUUUAUAAGGGAAUAACGUGCGGGUCGUUUCCCGUUUUGUAUGUACCUUAUGAAUAAGGAUCGGCUAACUCCGUGCCAGCAGCCGCGGUAAUACGGAGGAUCCGAGCGUUAUCCGGAUUUAUUGGGUUUAAAGGGUGCGUAGGCGGCCUUUUAAGUCAGCGGGGAAAGUCUGUGGCUCAACCAUUGAAUUGCGGUUGAAACUGGGAGGCUUGAGUGUGUGUGAGGCAGGCGGAAUGCGUGGUGUAGCGGUGAAAUGCUUAGAUAUCACGCAGAACCCCAGUUGCGAAGGCAGCCUGCCAAGCCAUGACUGACGCUGAUGCGCGAAAGCGUGGGGAUCAAACAGGAUUAGAUACCCUUGUAGUC
rnacentral:rRNA from 1 species